GAGCAGAGAGAUUACAGCUCUCUCGCCGCCAACAAAAUGUGCAGCCAGCCACCCACUGGACCCCUGGGAAAAUUGUUCCACUCCACCUCUUUCAAAGGUAGGAAGGCUGGCUGGAAAAGAAUUGCAUUAAAAUAAUGUGUAUGGGUGUGUCUGUAAAUGUGUGCGCAUUUGUCUGUCUUAGUGUGUGUGUGCGCGCGUCUGUCAGUAUGUGUUUUAGGUAACCAGCUGCCGCCUCCCCACCAGAUCACCUGGGAUUGGUGUUUAUACUUUCCUUUUUUCCCCAUGCCAUACCAGCCUCCCCGAGUCUGGGCCUGCCUUCCUUGUCCUCGUACUAUGGCUAAUCAUGCAUGUGCUGCAAAAUGCUGCGCUAAUCGGC